rnacentral:misc_RNA from 2 species
AACGCACAUUGCGCCCCUUGGUUAUUCCUCGGGGCAUGCCUAUUCGAGCGUCGUUUCGUCCCUCGAGCGCAAGCUUGGUGUUGGGGGCUGCCGCAGCCGCGAGGCGGCGGCACCCCUGGAAUCCAUCGGCGGCGGCAGCAUGGCCCGGAACGCAGCAGCGAUGCGGUUUCCAUGGGCCCGCGCAGCCAGCCGGAAAACAUCCGCCACGGCGGCAUCACGCUCGACCUCGAAUUAGGCAGGGAUACCCGCUGAACUUAA